AUGGGGCCACAGGGCGCCGCCGGGGGGCGCUAUGGGGCCGCAGCAGUGGACCGCCAUGGGGCAACGGCGGAUGUCGCCAUGGGGCGGGCGGCGCGGGGGGUCCCCGGGGACGCCGUGGGGCAGGCGCCUCCCCGCCGUGGGGCGGGGGCGAAAGGGGAAGUUGGCGGCGGCCGCGGCUGCAUUUGCCGGCGCCGUGGGGCAGGGACGGGCGUGGGGCGCCGCCAUGGGGACGCUGAGGGGCAGAGUCGUGGGGCCGAGCUGUGGGGCAGAGCCGUGGGGCCGAGCCUUGGGGCGGAGGCGUGGGGCGACGUGCAGCGGAGCUGUGGGGCCACCGUGGGGCCGCCCGCAGCCCGGACCACGUCGCCGUCCGUCUUCCCGCUGCGUCACUGCGGCAGCAGCUCCUCCGAGAUCGUCGUCGGCUGCUUCGUCAGCGACUACCUCCCGGAGCCCGUGCGGGUGCAGUGGGACAGCGGCAGGGCCCACGGGCGCCCCCUCACCUUCCCCGCCGUCCGGAAACCUUCCUCCGGCCUCCUCAGCCUCAGCAGCCAGCUCACGCUGCCGGCCACUGGCGUCGAAGGCGUCUCCUGCACCGUGUCCCACCCGCCGUCCGGCUACAAGAAGACCAUGAAUGUUAACGCGGUGCGGGUGGAGUGGCUGGUGGACGGCGAGCCCACGCAGCUGCCGUCGCAGCAAAGCACCCCGCAGCCCGACGCCGGCGGCCGCACCUUCAGCACCAGCAGCCAGGUGAACGUCUCCGCCGCCGACUGGCAGGACAAGAGCUACGGCUGCCGGGUCUCGCACGCCAGCACCGGCACCGUGCUGGAGGAGAACGCCCGCAAGUGCCCAGGCGGCAGCCCGGCGGACGCCAGCGGCAUCCGGCUCUUCGUGCUGCCGCCGAGCCCCUCGGAGCUCUACAUGUCGCAGUCGCCGCGGCUCCUGUGCCUGGUCUCCAACCUGCCCAGCGACGAGGGGCUGCGGGUGAGCUGGGCGCGGGAGCGCGCCGGGCCGCUGAGCCCGCAGCCGCUGCAGCUGCGCGAGCAGCUCAACGGCACCUUCACGGCCCGGAGCGAGCUGCCCAUCUCCACGCGCGCCUGGGACGAGGGCGAGACCUUCACCUGCACCGUGAGCCACAGCGAGCUCCCGGCGCCGCUCAGCCGCACCGUCGACAGGCAGUUCGGGAAGCGCCUGGCGCCCAGCGUCUACGUGCUGCCGCCGCCGGCCGAGGAGCUGAGCAGCAGCUGGGACACCGUGAGCCUGACGUGCCUCGUGCGCGGCUUCUACCCGGAGGCCGUCUCGGUGCAGUGGCUGCGGAACCAGGCGCCGCUGGAGCCGGCGGCCGCCGACACGUGCGCGCCGGCCCGCGACCGCGGCGCCGACGGCGCCUUCUUCCUCUACAGCCGCCUGGCCGUGCCGCGGGCCAGCUGGGAGCGCGGCGACCCGUACGUCUGCAUGGUGGUGCACGAGGCGCUGCCCAUGCGCUUCCUGCAGCGCAGCGUCGCCCGCGGCCCCGGUAAAUGAGCGCGGGGGGCGGCGCGGGGGGCGCGGGGGCCGACAACCGCGGUGCUGCAACAGCCGCUGCACCAACAACCGCGGCAACAACCGCGCUGCACCAACAACCGCGGCACCAACCGCGGCACCAACCGCGGCACCAAGCAGCGGCUGCCGCCGCCGGGCCGCAAAUAAACUGCAGAAAGCGAAA